UACGUAGGGGGGCGAGCGUUUGUCCGGAGUUACUGGGCGUAAAGGGCUCGUAGGCGGCCAACUAAGUCAUACGUGAAAUCCCUCGGCUUAACCGGGGAACUGCGUCUGAUACUGGAUGGCUUGAGUUUGGGAGAGGGAUGCGGAAUUCCAGGUGUAGCGGUGAAAUGCGUAGAUAUCUGAAGGAACACCGGUGGCGAAGGCGGCAUCCUGGACCAACACUGACGCUGAGUGAGCGAAAAGCCAGGGGGAGCAAACGGG
rnacentral:rRNA from 1 species